AUAUAUAAUAUAUAUAGUGUGUGUGUGUGUGUGUGUGUGUGUGUGUAUAUAUAUCUAUAUAUACAUUUUCCUUUUAUAUACAUAUAUACAC
rnacentral:miRNA from 12 species